rnacentral:rRNA from 1 species
AGCGAACGCUGGCGGCAGGCCUAACACAUGCAAGUCGAACGAACCCUUCGGGGUUAGUGGCGGACGGGUGAGUAACACGUGGGAACGUGCCUUUAGGUUCGGAAUAACUCAGGGAAACUUGUGCUAAUACCGAAUGUGCCCUUCGGGGGAAAGAUUUAUCGCCUUUAGAGCGGCCCGCGUCUGAUUAGCUAGUUGGUGAGGUAAUGGCUCACCAAGGCUACGAUCAGUAGCUGGUCUGAGAGGAUGACCAGCCACAUUGGGACUGAGACACGGCCCAAACUCCUACGGGAGGCAGCAGUGGGGAAUCUUGCGCAAUGGGCGAAAGCCUGACGCAGCCAUGCCGCGUGGAUGAUGAAGGUCUUAGGAUUGUAAAAUCCUUUCACCGGUGAAGAUAAUGACUGUAGCCGGAGAAGAAGCCCCGGCUAACUUCGUGCCAGCCGCCGCUGUAA